rnacentral:rRNA from 1 species
AAAAAAGCCCUAUACCCGUUAAGGCAUGAUGGCCUGUACCCGAAACCGACACAGGUGGGGUGGUAGAGAAUACCGAGGGGCGCGAGGUAACUCUCUCUAAGGAACUCGGCAAAAUGGCCCCGUAACUUCGGGAGAAGGGGUGCCACCGCGAGGUGGUCGCAGUGAAGAGGCCCAGGCGACUGUUUACCAAAAACACAGGUCUCCGCUAAGUCGCAAGACGAUGUAUGGGGGCUGACGCCUGCCCAGUGCCGGAAGGUUAAGGAAGCUGGUCAGCGCAAGCGAAGCUGGCGACUGAAGCCCCGGUGAACGGCGGCCGUAACUAUAACGGUCCUAAGGUAGCGAAAUUCCUUGUCGGGUAAGUUCCGACCCGCACGAAAGGCGUAACGAUCUGGGCGCUGUCUCGGAGAGAGGCUCGGCGAAAUAGAAUUGUCUGUGAAGAUGCGGACUACGUGCACCCGGACAGAAAGACCCUAUGAAGCUUUACUGUAGCUUGGUAUUGUGCUCGGGCUCGGAAUGCGCAGGAUAGGUGGGAGGCUUUGAUCCAUUGCUUGCGGGUGAUGGUGAGCCACUGGUGAGAUACCACUCUUUCCGAGCUAGAGUUCUAACAGCAACCCGUUAUCCGGGUGCUGGACAGUAUCAGGUGGGCAGUUUGACUGGGGCGGUCGCCUCCUAAAAGGUAACGGAGGCGCGCAAAGGUCUGCUCAGGCUGGUUGGAAAUCAGCCGACGAGUGUAAAAGCAGAAGCAGGCUUGAUUGUGAGACCUACAAGUCGAUCAGGGAGGAAACUCGGCUUUAGUGAUCCGACGGUUCUGCGUGGAAGGGCCGUCGCUCAACGGAUAAAAGUUACUCUAGGAUAACAGGCUGAUCUCCCCCAAGAGUUCACAUCGACGGGGAGGUUUGGCACCUCGAUGUCGGCUCAUCGCAACCUGGGGCUGAAGUCGGUCCCAAGGGUUGGGCUGUUCGCCCAUUAAAGCGGUACGCGAGCUGGGUUCAGAACGUCGUGAGACAGUUCGGUCCAUAUCCGGUGCACGCGCAGGAAUAUUGAGAGUAUUUCUCCCUAGUACGAGAGGACCGGGAGGAACGCACCUCUGGUGUGCCAGUUAUCGUGCCAACGGUAAACGCUGGGUAGCCAUGUGCGGAGUGGAUAACCGCUGAAAGCAUCUAAGUGGGAAGCCCACCUCAAGAUGAGUAUUCCCAUGGCAUAAGCCAGUAAGGUCACGGGAAGAACACCCGUUGAUAGGCUCUACGUGGAAGCGCAGUAAUGUGUGAAGCGGAGGAGUACUAAUAGACCGAGGGCUU